UGGGGAAUAUUGGACAAUGGGCGAAAGCCUGAUCCAGCCAUGCCGCGUGUGUGAAGAAGGUCUUCGGAUUGUAAAGCACUUUAAGUUGGGAGGAAGGGCAGUAAGCGAAUACCUUGCUGUUUUGACGUUACCGACAGAAUAAGCACCGGCUAACUCUGUGCCAGCAGCCGCGGUAAUACAGAGGGUGCGAGCGUUAAUCGGAUUUACUGGGCGUAAAGCGUGCGUAGGCGGCUAAUUGAGUCGGAUGUGAAAUCCCCGAGCUUAACUUGGGAAUUGCAUUCGUUACUGGUUAGCUGGAGUGUGGGAGAGGAUGGUAGAAUUCCAGGUGUAGCGGUGAAAUGCGUAGAGAUCUGGAGGAAUACCGAUGGCGAAGGCAGCCAUCUGGCCUAACACUGACGCUGAGGUACGAAAGCAUGGGGAGCAAACAGG
rnacentral:rRNA from 1 species